GGGGGGGGGGGGGACCCCUCAGCUAGUGAGCUCACUCCCCUGGCCCCUUAGCUGACCGCGAGAUCCCCAGCUGAUUUGCAAUUUUUUUUUUUCGGACCUCACGCCUCAGCUGCCUCUCCUUUCCUCCCUCAGCUAACUCUCUCCCUUCUCUCCCGAACUCACGAACUCCCUCAGAUCCCCUUUCACGCCCUCACCUUCCCUCUAACUCCCUCUCAGCUUACAGACCUCCGAAACCUUCAGCAAAAACUCCCGCUGAGCCCAACAAACUCCCCUCAGCUCGCCCCCACCAACCGCCCGAGCCCACAGCUCACUCACCACCAUUUUUCCCCUAACUCUCUGCCCAUCUCCUCUCCGAGACCAGCUUCCUUCUCCAGCUCACUCCUUCGUCAACUAAACCUCGGUUCCUCCUCACCUCAUCUUACCUCAGCAACAUCCUUCCCUCUCUCAAAAAAAAAAAAAAAAAACUGAUUCCCUCAACUCACUCUCCGGCUCCUUCAUCCUCACCUCAACUCUUCCCCCCGACCUCUCUCAUUCCCCAUGCCAUGGCCCCUCCAUGAGUCACCACAAAUCUCAGCUCCUCAACUUCUUCCCGUCUUCUCCCUCGGUCCCGAGCCAAAACUGCUGUGGUGCCACCAUUCUCGAGUUUCCUUCAGCAGUUGCGGUCUAUUUUUCAUUUUUUUUCGUUUUCCUCUCUGGCAGGACACUGUGGCGACUAUGUCGAGGAGCCGUUGCUGAGCCGCUGUUUUGGACCCUCCCUGAGCUCCUCAGGUCUUCUCAAAACUGAGUCGCCCCACCAUACUGUUCCCCAGCUGCUGCUUGACCUCACGUCUGGUAUCCUUGGACAGCCCGUGUCAGCUUUAGUCGGAACAAUACUCGAAGCUUCUUGGUCCUUCCGAUGUAAGCCCGGAAGAGACCCGAAUGUGCUCUCAUCGAGGCUCGCAUGCGCUCGACUGAAUCACGUGGCUUGGGAGUAUCCACCUUCUAGGGGGACGCGUGACGGACACGUGUGAGAAGGAGUCGCCACUAUCUGUGUAUGAUUCGAAGGUCGAGGGCUGGUGAGUUGCCCGGGUUCGAGUUCGAGGGUUCACGUUACGUGCAAGCUUAUAUCCCACACGCCCUCUCAGUACUAUAGCUUGCUAGACUUGCAAUUUUAUUUCAUUUGCAGCGUGAAUUAAGUUGUACUCAGCUUACACGCUUUGACACCAAAAAUUCGGUAAAUUAAACGAUGUCGGUUGAGUAUCCGAGAGAGAAGUAAACCCACCUGUCGGGAAAUCAGUUCAA